GGAGCCGUAGUGAAGGCUUAGCAUAUCCGCCUGUCACGCGGAAGGUCGCGGGUUCAAAUCCCGUCGUCUCCGCCA
rnacentral:tRNA from 1 species